UAAUACAGAGGGUGCAAGCGUUAAUCGGAAUUACUGGGCGUAAAGCGCACGCAGGCGGUUUGUUAAGUCAGAUGUGAAAUCCCCGGGCUCAACCUGGGAACUGCAUUUGAAACUGGCAAGCUAGAGUCUCGUAGAGGGGGGUAGAAUUCCAGGUGUAGCGGUGAAAUGCGUAGAGAUCUGGAGGAAUACCGGUGGCGAAGGCGGCCCCCUGGACGAAGACUGACGCUCAGGUGCGAAAGCGUGGGGAGCAAACAGGAUUAGAUACCCUGGUAGUCCACGCUGUAAACGAUGUCGAUUUGGAGGUUGUGCCCUUGAGGCGUGGCUUCCGGAGCUAACGCGUUAAAUCGACCGCCUGGGGAGUACGGCCGCAAGGUUA
rnacentral:rRNA from 1 species